GAGCAGAGCCCGAGCCACCAGAGCCGACCAACUGUGGCAUAUCUCACUUAUGAGCAAAUGAAUGAAAAUGACAAGCGCUCAGCACCGGCGGCAGCGGAGGCAGUUCCAACAUGCGCCAAUAUUGCCACAGUUCCUAUUGAAGAUGUGGACACUCCUAGACCCCAAGUGGGUCCAAAGACCUAAGUGACAUCAAUGACUGGGUCUGGGAGCUGAGAUACAUCAGGAUGUCAAGUCCAUGUCUUACCACGUACUAGUUUGUAUGAUGGUGACAAUAAAAUCAAUCAGAUGUGAAAA
rnacentral:lncRNA from 1 species